CUCGUCUGACUGUGAGUCCCAGCAGCUCUCAGUUAUUUGAAGGAGACUUCGUGUCUCUGAGCUGUGAGGAGGACGACAGCUCUGCUGGAUGGACUCUGAGGACCAAAAAUAAGAUCACUCAGUGUGGAGAUGGGUGAGGAACAUCAUCUAAUUCUUCCUGUGACAUCAGCUACACCAUUGAAUGAGACAGUUGAGUUUACUGGUGUGAGUCCAGAGAGGGUCCCAUCAGUAACAUGGUUAACCUGACAGUCACUGCAGUUUUGGAGUGCAGCAGAAGAGAAAGACACCAACUGGAACACAGACAGAUCAGCCAAAUAAACUUACACAAAUCAGGCCUGUUUUCUAUGAGCCUGGGCCACAUACACCAAACCAUAAUCAGGCCAGAUGUGGAAUGCCAUCACAUAAACAAUGCCAUCUACACCAGGCCGGGC
ensembl:lncRNA